rnacentral:rRNA from 1 species
UACCAGCACCCCGAGUUGUCGGGACGAUUAUUGGGCCUAAAGCAUCCGUAGCCUGUUCUACAAGUCCUCCGUUAAAUCCACCUGCUCAACAGAUGGGCUGCGGGGGAUACUAUAGGGCUAGGAGGCGGGAGAGGCAAACGGUACUCAGUGGGUAGGGGUAAAAUCCAUUGAUCUACUGAAGACCACCAGUGGCGAAGGCGGUUUGCCAGAACGCGCUCGACGGUG